GGCUCGGUAGCGUAACGGUCAACGCGCCUAUACAUGGUGAACAAUGUUUCCUCCAAUCCCUUCCACGUAGGAGAUCCCAGUUCGACUCUGGGCCGAGCUG